GCUGGGCGCAGUGGCGCACACCUGUAAUCCCAGUGGCUUAGGAGGCUGAGGCAGGAGGAUGGCGGGUUCAAAGUCAACCUCAGCAACAGCAAGGCGCUAAGCAACUCAGUGAGACCCUGUCUCUA
rnacentral:sRNA from 1 species